UAUACUCCUCGGGAGGCAGCAGUAGGGAAUCUUCCACAAUGGGCGAAAGCCUGAUGGAGCAACGCCGCGUGUGUGAUGAAGGGUUUCGGCCCGUAAAACACUGUUGUAAGAGAAGAAUGACAUUGAGAGUAACUGUUCGAUGUGUGACGGUAUCUUACCAGAAAGGAACGGCUAAAUACGUGCCAGCAGCCGCGGUAAUA
rnacentral:rRNA from 1 species